UGACUAGAUAAUAACUUUUUGUGCAAUUUGGCAAUAUUAUAAUAUAUAAAGUUGGUCAAGGAAAAAAUGUCCAGGUUGCACUACUAAUUGUUUGUCAUUUGAAAAGCCAUAUAAAUAGCAAUGUUAUUUGAGAUUAUUAGGGGAAUUUGUUUUGAUGUGCUUGUACGUAAAUUUCAGAUCAAGAGGCUCAAAAAUGAAUGUUGAAGGAGGAAUGAAUUAUCAUACUAUUAACAUAAUUCACACCUCAUGCAACCUGGACAAAAAUGCAUAAUUAAAACUUAAACUGGUAUGUCCUCUUUCAAAACCACAUGUGUAAACACCAUGAGUAUUGACUUAGGUAAUGACGAUGGAACUAUCAUGAGAGAUUAUAGGAGAUUAUAGGAGAUGCUAUUUUUAUUCAGAAUAUUUAAAUUUUUUAACAUUACUGAUGCACAGCAAGUAUUUUUAAAGAUAAAUAAAUAGUAUGUUCUACGUAAAUAUAGCAACAAUAAGUUGGUUUUAAAGUUUUCCAAGAAAUUUCAAAAUGUCAUCAUAACACUCGACUAUAUAAAAUUCCCUACUCAUAUCCAGCUGUUUUAGCACCUUGUGGUCAGUUAGGAUUUCCUUAAGCAAUAUGAAUACAAAUGAGUUGCACAUUUUAAAAAGUGUGGAAGUGCUCCUAUCUUUAUGUUGUAUUUAGUCUCUUAACUUCAUAUCAAUUAGCUUUACAGCAUAUGCAUCCAAUUCUUAAUUCACAUUAUUGCGAACCCUAUCAUAGUUUUCCACAGAUUCACCCGCAAGUUACCUGUCGAUUUAAACUUUUGUAAGUUCUAUUGUCCCAUCUAACAAAUACAUAGCUAUUGUUCUCUGUU
rnacentral:lncRNA from 1 species